rnacentral:rRNA from 1 species
AGAGUUUGAUCAUGGCUCAGGAUGAACGCUGGCGGCGUGCUUAACACAUGCAAGUCGAACGGAGAGCUUCGGCUCUCAGUGGCGGACGGGUGAGUAACGCGUGGGAACCUGCCUUCAGGAGGGGGAUAACAACCGGAAACGGGUGCUAAUACCCCAUAGGCCGCAAGGUAAAAGAUUUAUCGCCUGAGGAUGGGCCCGCGUCUGAUUAGCUAGUUGGUGGGGUAACGGCCUACCAAGGCGACGAUCAGUAGCUGGUCUGAGAGGAUGAUCAGCCACACUGGGACUGAGACACGGCCCAGACUCCUACGGGAGGCAGCAGUGGGGAAUUUUCCGCAAUGGGCGCAAGCCUGACGGAGCAACGCCGCGUGGGUGAUGAAGGCCCGUGGGUCGUAAAGCCCUUUUGUCAGGGACGAACAAGAUGACGGUACCUGACGAAUCAGCAUCGGCUAACUCCGUGCCAGCCGCCGCGGUAAUUC